GCCCAUGUCUGGCAUAGCUCAGUUAGUAGAGCAUGAAAUUCUUAAUCUCAGGGUUGGGGGUUCGAGCCCCACUUUGGGCA